GGGAAAUUGAAUAUUAUUGGUUAAACAGUUAACUUUAAUUUUCUUUGAUAUUAAAUUUUUUAGGUGAAAUUUUAAUUUUAUUUUAAUUGUAUUUUGUUGAAACUGUGAAAUUUAUAUUAAAAACGAGGAUUAGAUACCCUUUUAUGUUAAAUGUGAAUAUAAACCUGGGUAGUAAUAGUUAUGUUCUUGAAACCCAAAGAAUUUGGCGGUAUUUUAUUCUAUUUAGAGGAACCUGUCCCGUAAUUGAUAAUCCACGAUAAUGAAUUACUUAUCUUUGUUUUCAGUUUGUAUACCUCCGUCAUCAGAGUAUCUUUUUAGAGUGAAUAUUCUAUUAAUAUAAAAUAAAUUAUGUCAGGUCAAGGUACAAUUUAUGGGUAAGGGGAGAUGGGUUACAAUAAAUUUAUUUAACAUGGAGGAAUAUUGUUACUAUAUUUUGAAGGUGGAUUUAAAAGUAAAAUUAUUUAUUUAAUAUUUUGAUUUUGGCUCUAAAAUAUGCACACAUCGCCCGUCGCUCUUAUUAUAAAAUAAGAUAAGUCGUAACAUAGUAGAUGUACCGGAAGGUGUAUCUAGAACG
rnacentral:rRNA from 1 species